rnacentral:tRNA from 1 species
GGGCCCGUAGCUCAGCAUGGAUAGAGUGCCUGCCUUCUAAGCAGGUGGUCGUGGGAUCGAAGCCCACCGGGCCCG